GACGUAGGUGGCAAGCGUUGUCCGGAAUCACUGGGCGUAAAGGGCGCGUAGGCGGUAUAUCAAGUCAAUUGUGAAAGACCCGGGCUCAACCCGGGAAGUGCAGUUGAAACUGGUAAACUUGAGUGCAGUAGAGGGAAGCGGAAUUCCUGGUGUAGCGGUGAAAUGCGUAGAGAUCAGGAGGAACACCGGUGGCGAAGGCGGCUUUCUGGGCUGCAACUGACGCUGAGGCGCGAAAGCGUGGGGAGCGAACAGGAUUAGAUACCCUGGUAGUCCACGCUGUAAACGAUGAAUACUAGGUGUGGGUAUCGCAGGAUAUCCGUGCCGGAGCAAACGCAAUAAGUAUUCCGCCUGGGGAGUACGGCCGCAAGGUUGAA
rnacentral:rRNA from 1 species